ACCGGGGAGGGAGGAGGGAAAAGCCCAAAUUGUUAUUUGGGUCUUUUUUAUAAGGGUCCGAGUUGUAAUUUUGAGAACUGUUUUCCGUGCUGGACCAUGUACAAGUCUGUUGAAAAACAGCAUCAUUGAGGGUGAUAAUCCCGUAUAUGAUAUGGACUACCAGGGCAAUGUGAUACAGUCUCUAAGAGUCGAGUUGUUUGGGAAUGCAGCUCAAAGUGGGUGGUAAAUUCCAUCUAAGGCUAAAUAUAGGUGAGAGACCGAUAGCAAACAAGUACCGUGAGGGAAAGAUGAAAAGAACUUUGGAAAGAGAGUUAACAGUACGUGAAAUUGUUAAAAGGGAAACAUUUGAAGUUAGACUUGUUAUUGUUGGUUCAGCUCUUUUUAAGGGUGUAUUCCAAUGGUUAACAGACCAGCAUCAAUUUUUGGGUGUUAGAUAAGGGUCUUGAGAAUGUAGCAACCUCGGUUGUGUUAUAGAUCUUGACUUGAUAUAAUGCUUAGGAUUGAGGAACGCAGUGAGCUUCUUUUGAAGUGGAUGUUUUUAAUGUCUUCUCACUACGGAUGUGGGUAAUGUG
rnacentral:rRNA from 1 species